UGCGUAGGGGGCUAGCGUUGUCCGGAAUCAUUGGGCGUAAAGAGCGUGUAGGCGGCUCGGUAAGUCCGCUGUAAAAGUCAAAGGCUCAACCUUUGAAUGUCAGUGGAUACUGCCGGGCUAGAGUCCGGAAGAGGCGAGUGGAACUCCUGGUGUAGCGGUGGAAUGCGCAGAUAUCAGGAAGAACACCAACGGCGAAGGCAGCUCGCUGGGACGGUACUGACGCUGAGGCGCGAAAGCGUGGGGAGCGAACAGG
rnacentral:rRNA from 1 species